rnacentral:piRNA from 1 species
UGGGAUGAAUGGUCAGCUCUCUGA